AGCGAACGCUGGCGGCAUGCCUUACACAUGCAAGUCGAACGGCAGCGCGGACUUCGGUCUGGCGGCGAGUGGCGAACGGGUGAGUAAUACAUCGGAACGUACCCUGUUGUGGGGGAUAACUAGUCGAAAGAUUAGCUAAUACCGCAUACGACCUGAGGGUGAAAGUGGGGGACCGCAAGGCCUCACGCAGCAGGAGCGGCCGAUGUCUGAUUAGCUAGUUGGUGGGGUAAAGGCCCACCAAGGCGACGAUCAGUAGCUGGUCUGAGAGGACGAUCGGCCACACUGGGACUGAGACACGGACCAGACUCCUACGGGAGGCAGCAGUGGGGAAUUUUGGACAAUGGGGGCAACCCUGAGCCAGCAAUGCCGCGUGUGUGAAGAAGGCCAUCGGGUUGUAAAGCACUUUUGUCCGGAAAGAAAUCGCGCUGGUUAAUACCUGGCGUGGAUGACGGUACCGGAAGAAUAAGCACCGGCUAACUACGUGCCAGCCGCCGCCGUAA
rnacentral:rRNA from 1 species